UACGUAGGGUGCAAGCGUUGUCCGGAAUCAUUGGGCGUAAAGCGCGUGUAGGUGGUUAGUUAAGUCGGGUGUGAAAUCCCUGGGCUCAACCGAGGAAGUGCAUUCGAAACUAACUAGCUUGAAGAUGGUAGAGGAAGGUGGAAUUCCAAGUGUAGAGGUGAAAUUCGUAGAUAUUUGGAGGAAUACCGGUGGCGAAGGCGGCCUUCUGGACCAUUCUUGACACUGAGACGCGAAAGCGUGGGUAGCAAACAGG
rnacentral:rRNA from 1 species